rnacentral:lncRNA from 1 species
CAGGUUUUAUACAUUACGAAUAAAGCUGGCACGUUUCCAUUUCUCCUGGGCAAAUAUUUAGAAGAAAAGUUGCUGGGUAAUUGAAGCACUGAGACCACAGAGGCAAGAGCUGGGGAAGGAAAACUGCCCAUGAGAUGAGAUGUGCCUCUCAGCUUCCAAAAUCGGGGAGAUGCCCCCCAUGGAAUCCAGCCAUCAUGCUGUGAGGAAUCCAAGCAGCUACAUAGAAAGGCCACAACUAGAUAUUCCAGCUGUAGUCAGCUGAAGCUCCAGCCAACAGCCAACAUCAACCACCACACGUGAAAACGAGCAAGCCUUCAGAUGAUUCCGACUCCCAACCUCCAAGCCACCUCAGCUGAAGCCAAGUAGAGCAGAGACUAGCUGUCCCCCAAUGCUCUAAUAUGCAGAUUCAUAAUUAAAAAGAAUGUUAUUGUUCUAA